rnacentral:rRNA from 1 species
GACGAACGCUGGCGGCGUGCUUAACACAUGCAAGUCGAACGGAAAGGCCCUGCUUUUGUGGGGUGCUCGAGUGGCGAACGGGUGAGUAACACGUGAGUAACCUGCCCUUGACUUUGGGAUAACUUCAGGAAACUGGGGCUAAUACCGGAUAGGAGCUCCUGCUGCAUGGUGGGGGUUGGAAAGUUUCGGCGGUUGGGGAUGGACUCGCGGCUUAUCAGCUUGUUGGUGGGGUAGUGGCUACCAAGGCUUUGACGGGUAGCCGGCCUGAGAGGGUGACCGGCCACAUUGGGACUGAGAUACGGCCCAGACUCCUACGGGAGGCAGCAGUGGGGAAUAUUGCACAAUGGGCGGAAGCCUGAUGCAGCAACGCCGCGUGCGGGAUGACGGCCUUCGGGUUGUAAACCGCUUUCGCCUGUGACGAAGCGUGAGUGACGGUAAUGGAUAAAGAAGCACCGGCUAACUACGUG